CCAGCACGCCAAGAAGAGCAAAUCCAUUAUCAAAUCCCAUGCCACUCAGUAGCAGAGAUGCUUCACUUCAGAGCGUUAGUGAAGUUUCUGAAAAUCCUAAUCAAGGAGCAGAUCUUCAUAUAAAAUGCUUCACGCCAAGAAGAGCAAAUCUAUGGAACUCUAGUCAAGUGUAUUCCAGUGAAACAUAUUAUUGCAGGCAAUUAUAGCAUACACAAGUGGUAAGGGUAGUUGGUCUGGUUCAUUUACACAUUCAGAGAGUGGCGGUGCAGGGUCUCAAUCAGGGGAAAAUUCUGGAGUUAGAGGUUGCGACCUGUUGGUUCUCAAAGGAUAAUGUGCUCGGAGAGUUUGGUUAUGAAGUUGCUUAUCGUGGU